rnacentral:rRNA from 1 species
GAUGAACGCUAGCGGGAGGCCUAACACAUGCAAGUCGAGCGGGAUCCCCUUCGGGGUGAGAGCGGCGCACGGGUGAGUAAUGCAUAUGCAACCUGCCCUUUACUGGGGAAUAGCCCGGAGAAAUUCGGAUUAAUACCUCAUGGUUCUGUAUAUCCGCAUGGAAUUACAGAUAAAGCUAAGGCGGUAAAGGAUGGGCAUAUGUGACAUUAGUUAGUUGGCGGGGUAACGGCCCACCAAGACGAUGAUGUCUAGGGGUUCUGAGAGGAUGAUCCCCCACACUGGUACUGAGACACGGACCAGACUCCUACGGGAGGCUG